UACGAAGGGGGCUAGCGUUGCUCGGAAUCACUGGGCGUAAAGGGUGCGUAGGCGGGUCUUUAAGUCAGGGGUGAAAUCCUGGAGCUCAACUCCAGAACUGCCUUUGAUACUGAAGAUCUUGAGUUCGGGAGAGGUGAGUUGAACUGCGAGUGUAGAGGUGAAAUUCGUAGAUAUUCGCAAGAACACCAGUGGCGAAGGCGGCUCACUGGUCCGGUACUGACGCUGAGGUGCGAAAGCGUGGGGAGCAAACAGG
rnacentral:rRNA from 1 species